rnacentral:rRNA from 1 species
AUCUAUGGCCAUGCCACCCUGAACAAGCCCAAUCCCGUCUGAUCUCGGAAGCUAAGCAGAGUUGGACCUGGUUAGUACUUGGAUGGGAGACCAUCUAGGAAGACCAGGUGCUGUAGGCA